UAACGGCGAGUGAACGGGGAUUAGCCCAUCACCGAAGCCCGCGUGUUGUUGCAUGCAGGGCAAUGUGGUGUUAAGGCUUGCACCUGGGACUGUGAACCUACCAAAAGUCCAGCUCCGAUUCUGGCUUAUUGUUUUCCGUAGCGGGUGAAAGACCCGUGAUGGUGGGUAUGUUGUUCGUAGCAGUCCUCAGAUGUGCAUGCCUACGAGUCGGAUUGCUUGAGAAUGCAGUCCAAAGUGGGUGGUAAACUCCAUCCAAGGCUAAAUACUGGCAUGAGUCCGAUAGUAGACAAGUACCGUGAGGGAAAGUUGAAAAGUACUCUGAAGAGAGAGUAAAUAGUACGUGAAGCCGAUUGCAGGGAAGCUGGUGGAGUCAAGCUUCAUGCUUGAGGGGUUGUUGAUUGGAGCAAUGUGUGUGUUGUGCACUCUUGUUGGUCAACUUGGAAUAAGUUGGGCGUAUUCGUACGUUUCAAGUCAUUCUGGGUUGAGUGUUUGAAGCCAGUAAUUGUGCGCUGCUCUUGUCAAUCUAUCCCUCGCUGCAUAAAUCACAGUCGAUAUUGGAGUGCCGCCUGUUUGUCUAACCGUACUGUGGUGGGCCUUGUGCUUGUCUGGUGCGGAAAGGCAGGUUAGAUCAAUGGACUUGUGUCAUUGUAUCUACAAAGAUUUGGUCGACUCUCAGGCAGUGUCUUUGAUAUCGUGAUUGAUUGGUACUGAAUCUUCGGAUCCAGUAU
rnacentral:rRNA from 1 species